rnacentral:rRNA from 1 species
CCAAUAGCGUAUAUUAAAGUUGUUGCAGUUAAAAAGCUCGUAGUUGAAUUUCGGGAUCAAUAUAUUGGUCAUGCUUAGGUAUGUACUGGUAUUAUUGAUUUCUCCCUUCUGAAGAACCAUGAUGUCCUUAAUUUGAUGUCGUGGGGAAUCAGGACUGUUACUUUGAAAAAAUUAGAGUGUUUAAAGCAGGCUUUCGCUUGAAUACAUUAGCAUGGAAUAAUGAAAUAGGACGUUUGAUUCUAUUUUGUUGGGUUCUAGGAUCGACGUAAUGAUUAAUAGGGUUAGUUGGGGGCAUUAGUAUUAAAUUGUCAGAGGUGAAAUUCUUGGAUUUAUUGAAGACUAACUACUGCGAAAGCAUUUGCCAAGGAUGUUUUCAUUAAUAAAGAACGAAAGUUAGGGGAUCGAAGACGAUCAGAUACCGUCGUAGUCUUAACCAUAAACUAUGCCGACUAGGGAUCGGAUGAUGUUAAUUUUUUAAUGACUCAUUCGGCGCCUUACG